rnacentral:rRNA from 1 species
UACAGAGGUGGCGAGCGUUGUUCGGAUUUACUGGGCGUAAAGGGCGCGUAGGCGGCCGCGCGUGUGGGGUGUGAAAUCUCCGGGCUCAACCCGGAAAGUGCGCCCCAAACUGCGCGGCUGGAGUGCGGGAGGGGAGAUCGGAAUGCAGGGUGUAGCGGUGAAAUGCGUUGAUAUCCUGCAGAACACCGGUGGCGAAGGCGGAUCUCUGGAACGCAACUGACGCUGAGGCGCGAAAGCCGGGGGAGCAAACAGGAUUAGAUACCCUGGUAGUCCCGGCCUUAAACGGUGCACACUUGGGGUGGGGGGAUUUCACCCCCCCCGUCCCGGAGCUAACGCGUUAAGUGUGCCGCCUGGGGAGUACGGCCGCAAGGUUAAAACUCAAAGAAAUUGACGGGGGCCCGCACAAGCAGAGGAGCAUGUGGCUUAAUUCGAUGCAACGCGAAGAACCUUACCCGGGUUUGACAUGUGACUACACGUCCCGUGAAAGCGGGACUCCUUCGAGGUGUCACACAGGUGCUGCAUGGCUGUCGUCAGUUCGUGCCGUGAGGUGUUUGGUUAAGUCCAGCAACGAACGCAACCCCUGUGUCUAGUUGCCAGCGCGCAAAGGCGGGAACUCUAGACAGACUGCCCGUUCACACGGGAGGAAGGUGGGGAUGACGUCAAGUCAGUAUGGCCCUUACAUCCGGGGCUGCACACGUGCUACAAUGGCCGGCACAAAGGGAAGCUUGACCGCGAGGUUUGGCCAACCCCCAAAACCGGCCCCAGUUCAGAUUGGGGUCUGCAACCCGACCCCAUGAAGUCGGAUUUGCUAGUAACGGCGCAUCAGCUACGGCGCCGUGAAUACGUUCCCGGGCCUUGUACACACCGCCCGUCACACCAUGAGAGUUUGUAACACCCGAAGUCAAUAGCAUAACCUUUACCGGAGUGCGUUGCCGAAAGUGGGACAGAUGAUUGGGGUG